rnacentral:tRNA from 1 species
AGGCUGUUAGUUUACUCGGUAAAACUGUGGACUCCAAAUCCACCGUCGUGAGUUCAAAUCUUACACAGCCUG